UUCCGGUUGAUCCUGCCGGACCUUACUGCUAUCGGGGUGGGACUAAGACAUGCGAGUCGAGCGCUCUAGCUAUGUUGAGACGCGGCAGACGGCUCAGUAACACGUGGCUAACCUACCCUCAGGACGAGGAUAAACCCGGGAAACUGGGGCUAAUACUCGAUAGGUGAGAAUGUCUGGAAUGAUUUCUCACUCAAAGGGCCUUGGGAACAUGCUUCCAAUGUCGCCUGGGGAUGGGGCCGCGUCCGAUCAGGUUGUUGGUGAGGUAAUGGCUCACCAAGCCUAUAACCGGUACGGGCCGUGAGAGCGGUAGCCCGGAGAUGGGUACUGAGACAAGGACCCAGGCCCUACGGGGCGCAGCAGUCGCGAAAACUCCGCAAUGCACGAAAGUGUGACGGGGCUACCCCGAGUGCCAUCCGCUGAGGGUGGCUUUUCUUUGGUAUAACUAGCCGAGGGAAUAAGGAGAGGGCAAGACUGGUGUCAGCCGCCGCGGUAAUACCAGCUCUCCGAGUGGUAGGGAUGAUUAUUGGGCUUAAAGCGUCCGUAGCCGGCUUAGCAAGUCUCCUGUUAAAUUCAGCGACCUAAUCGUUGAGCCGCGGGAGAUACUACUAGGCUAGGAGGCGGGAGAGGUCGACGGUACUUCUGGGGUAGGGGUGAAAUCCUAUAAUCCCGGGAGGACCACCAGUGGCGAAGGCUGUCGACUAGAACGCGCUCGACGGUGAGGGACGAAAGCUGGGGGAGCGAACCGGAUUAGAUACCCGGGUAGUCCCAGCCGUAAACGAUGCGGGCUAGGUGUUGGAAUGGCUACGUGCCAUUUCAGUGCCGCAGGGAAGCCAUUAAGCCCGCCGCCUGGGGAGUACGGCCGCAAGGCUGAAACUUAAAGGAAUUGGCGGGGGAGCACCACAAGGCGUGAAGCUUGCGGUUCAAUUGGAUUCAACGCCGGG
rnacentral:rRNA from 1 species